CGGACGGGUGAGUAACGCGUGGGUAACCUGCCUUAUACAGGGGGAUAACAGUUAGAAAUGACUGCUAAUACCGCAUAAGCGCACAGGAUUGCAUGAUCCGGUGUGAAAAACUCCGGUGGUAUAAGAUGGACCCGCGUCUGAUUAGCUUGUUGGUGAGGUAACGGCCCACCAAGGCGACGAUCAGUAGCCGACCUGAGAGGGUGACCGGCCACAUUGGGACUGAGACACGGCCCAGACUCCUACGGGAGGCAGCAUG
rnacentral:rRNA from 1 species